rnacentral:rRNA from 1 species
UACGUAGGGUGCAAGCGUUAAUCGGAAUUACUGGGCGUAAAGCGUGCGCAGGCGGUUUUAUAAGUUUGUCGUGAAAUCCCCGGGCUUAACUUGGGAAUUGCGCUCGAAACUACGUGGCUCGAGUAUGGCAGAGGAAGGUGGAAUUCCACGUGUAGCGGUGAAAUGCGUAGAGAUGUGGAGGAACACCGGUGGCGAAGGCGGCCCGCUGGGCAGUGGCUGACGCUGGAGGCGCGACAGCGUGGGGAGCAAACAGG